rnacentral:rRNA from 1 species
AGUGAACGCUGGCGGCGUGCCUAAUACAUGCAAGUCGAACGAAGUGGCGCACGGGUGAGUAAUAUAUAGUUAAUCUGCCCUACACAGAGGAACAACAGUUGGAAACGGCUGCUAAUACCUCAUAGUGUAGGAUGAGACUAUAUCGUAUCAGCUAGUUGGUAAGGUAAUGGCGUACAAAGGCUAUGACGCGUAACUGGUCUGGUAGGAUGAUCAGUAACAUUGGAACUGAGACACGGGCCAAAAUCCUACGGGAGGGAGCAGGAAGGAAUAUGGCGCAAUGGGGGAAAGCCUGACGCAUCAACGCCGCGUGGAGGAUGACAGUUUUCGGAGCGUAAACUCCUUUUUACAGGAAAGCGGUAUCUGAUGAAUAAGCACCGGCUAACUCCGUGCCAGCAGCCGCGGUAAUAC